rnacentral:rRNA from 1 species
AUUGAACGCUGGCGGCAUGCCUAACACAUGCAAGUCGAACGGUAACGCGGAGAGCUUGCUCUCUGGCGACGAGUGGCGGACGGGUGAGUAAUACUUAGGAAUCUGCCCAGUAGUGGGGGACAACAUUCGGAAACGGAUGCUAAUACCGCAUACGCACUACGGUGGAAAGUGGGGGACCUUCGGGCCUCACGCUAUUGGAUGAGCCUAAGUCGGAUUAGCUUGUUGGUAGGGUAAUGGCCUACCAAGGCGACGAUCCGUAGCUGGUCUGAGAGGACGAUCAGCCACACUGGGACUGAGACACGGCCCAGACUCCUACGGGAGGCAGCAGUGGGGAAUAUUGGACAAUGGGCGCAAGCCUGAUCCAGCAAUGCCGCGUGUGUGAAGAAGGCCUGCGGGUUGUAAAGCACUUUCAGUAGAGAAGAAAAGCCUAGGGUUAAUACCCCUGAGUCUUGACGUAACCUACAGAAGAAGCACCGGCUAACUCCGUG